CGCCUCUAAGGAUUAGAGAAACCUAAGCACACAAUACAUCAGUAAGACAACUUAAGGAGAUCAUGAACGCCAUUCACGCUAUACAACAACUCAACAAUUAUGUACUCAGUAAAAAUGUAAUAAUGUAAUGAUCCAAAUAUGCUCUUCAAAAACUUGACCUCUUUCAACUUUUAGCAUGUGUAAGUUUGCUAAACCUUAGCAAAAGACUAUUGCAAUUACAGUAUAUCAUACAUUUUCACGAAUAUAGGAGUAUUGCAAUUACAGUAUAUCAUACAUUUUCACGAAUAUAGGAG
rnacentral:misc_RNA from 1 species